UAUUGCACAAUGGGGGAAACCCUGAUGCAGCGACGCCGCGUGAAGGAAGAAGUAUCCCGGUAUGUAAACUUCUAUCCGCAGGGAAGAAAAUGACGGUACCUGACUAAGAAGCCCCGGCUAACUACGUGCCAGCAGCCGCGGUAAUACGUAUGGUGCAAGCGUUAUCCGUAUUUACUGGGUGUAAAGGGAGCGUAGACGGAGAGGCAAGUCUGAUGUGAAAACCCGGGGCUCAACCCCGGGACUGCAUUGGAAACUGUUUUUCUAGAGUGUCGGAGAGGCAAGUGGAAUUCCUAGUGUAGCGGUGAAAUGCGUAGAUAUUAGGAGGAACACCAGUGGCGAAGGCGGCUUGCUGGACGAUGACUGACGCUGAGGUUCGAAAGCGUGGGUAGCAAACAG
rnacentral:rRNA from 1 species